GAUGAAGAACGUAGCGAAAUGCGAUAAGUAAUGUGAAUUGCAGAAUUCAGUGAAUCAUCGAAUCUUUGAACGCACAUUGCGCCCGCCAGUAUUCUGGCGGGCAUGCCUGUUCGAGCGUCAUUUCAACCAUCAAGCCCCCGGGCUUGUGUUGGGGACCUGCGGCUGCCGCAGGCCCUGAAAACCAGUGGCGGGCUCGCUAGUCACUCCGAGCGUAGUAGUUACAUCUCGCUCAGGGCGUGCUGCGGGUUCCGGCCGUUAAAAGCCUUUUACCCCAAGGUUGACCUCGGAUCAGGUAGGAAGACCCGCUGAACUUAAGCAUAUCAAUAAGCGGAGA
rnacentral:misc_RNA from 1 species